GACGAACGCUGGCGGCGUGCUUAACACAUGCAAGUCGAACGAAGAGCGAGUGAGACUUUCUUCUAUCAAUCUUAGUGGCGAACGGGGGAGUAACGCGUAAUCAACCUGCCCUUUAGAGGGGGACAACAGUUGGAAACGACUGCUAAUACCGCAUACGAUCCAAUCGCGGCAUCGGGGCGGGAUGAAAGGUGGGCUCUAUUUAUAAGGUAUCACUCAAGGAGGGUAUUGCGUCUGAUUAGGUACUAGGAGGGGUAAGGGCCCACCAAGGCGAUGGUCAGUAGCCGGUCUGAGAGGAUGGACGGCCACAUUGGGACUGAGACACGGCCCAGACUCCUACGGGAGGCAGCAGUGGGGAAUCUUCCGCAAUGGAGGAAAGUCUGACGGCACAAAGCCGCGUGAGUGAUGACGGCCUUCGGGUUGUAAAGGUCUGUUAAUCGGGAAGAAAGGUCAUUGUGCGAAUAGUGCGAGGAUUUGACGGUACCGGAAGAGAAAGCAACGGCUAACUACGUG
rnacentral:rRNA from 1 species